UCCCGCGUCAGACCGCGAUUCCUUGGGGGGGAGGAGCCAACUCCUUAAAGGAACAGUGGAGCGGAGCCAGUUCCGCCCCCCUGUGUUGGAGAGUAGUGGAUUGUUGAAACUCUCAUAGAGGAAACCUGGAAGAGGACUGGAGGGCAGAAGAGGGAACCCCUGAAUGGAUUGGGGUUUAAAAUAAAUGAGAAAAAAUACUUCCUAAUUCCAGCGAAGGGGUUCAGGGAUAGAUUGGAGCGUUUCUCCCACCACUUCCUGAGGGAAGGUAAAGUGGUUGGAGCCGAGGGAACUUGUGUUUCGUCUCCGCUACCCCAGCGGUUCCACUCGUUCCCCUACUACACACACUUGCCUUUCCCUCUCUUUUCAAAGGAUCAACACUUUCCCACAAGUCUGGCUGCGAGGUCACAUCGUUCAUCAUCCUCUACACUGGAGGUGGAGGGGUGUCUUUGGCAGACACACAUCUGGAGGAGGAGGAGGUACGGGGCGACCUCCCAUCCACGAUGGGGGCAGGGCGGAGAGUGAGAGCUAUUCCGGAGGCUGAGGCAGGAGGAUUACCCCGAGUUCAAGUCCAACCUGACCCACAUAGUGAGCACCAAGCCAGCCCAGGACUACAUAGCAAAACCCAGUCAAAAAGAAAAUUAUUCAAACGUGGUUAAGAGUUCUGGCUGCUCUUCCAGAGGACCUGGGUUCAAUUUCCAGCACCCACAUGGCAGCUCACAGUGGUCUUUAACUCCAGUUCCAGGUGAUCUGACAUCUUCAAAGACAUACAUGUAAGUAAAACACCAGUGCGCAUUAAAUACAUCUAAAAAAUUAUUCGAAUAAAAAGUCUGUCUACCUUUGCAGGCCUGUGCAUGCAAACAAGUGACCUGGGUCCCUUCUCUGGUGUCGGUACUUGUGCUGGCUGGUUUGCUGUCAGCUAGACACAAGCUAGAGUCAUCAGAGAGGAAGGAGCCUCUGUUGAGGAAAUGCCUCCCUGAGAUCCAGCUGUAGGGCACUUCCUCAAUUAGUGAUCAAUGGAGGAAGCCCAGCCCAUUGUGGGCAGUGCCAUCCUUGGGCCCCGUGGUCCUGGAUUUUAUAAGAAAGCAGGCUGAGCAAGCACGGAGAGCAUUGCAGUAAGCAGCACCCCUCCAUGGCCGCUGCGUCAGCUCCUGCCUCCAGGUUGCUGUCCUGCUUGAGUUCCAGUCCUGACUUCCUUUGGUGAUGAACAGCGAUGUGGAAGUGUGAGCUGAAUAAACCCUUUCCUCCAGA